rnacentral:pre_miRNA from 1 species
AGCAAAUCAACUUUUCAGUCUUUGAUACCAUGUUUAACUCUUCGUCUUAUUAAAAAAGGUUUAUAAUUAAUAAUUUUAUUUUUAUUAGAUGAUAAAACAUGAAUAGUACUUUAUGUGUGACUAAUUUUUUUAAAAUUUCUUGAAAUUUUUUCAAAUAAGACGGAUGGUCAAAUGAUCAAAGCC